rnacentral:tRNA from 1 species
CGGCCUGCUCGGCGACCCGGCGGUGCUGCUGUUCGCGGUGGCCUGCGUGGUGCUCGCCAUCGCCGGCAAGUUCGGUGCCUGCUGGGCCGC